GAACGCGAAGAACCUUACCCGGACUUGAUAUCUAACAAAUCAUCCAGAGAUGGAAGAGUGUCUGCUUGCAGAAAUGUUAAGACAGGUGCUGCACGGCUGUCGUCAGCUCGUGUCGUGAGAUGUUGGGUUAAGUCCCGCAACGAGCGCAACCCACGUCAUUAGUUGCUAACGGUUCGGCCGAGCACUCUAAUGAGACUGCCUUCGCAAGGAGGAGGAAGGUGUGGACGACGUCAAGUCAUCAUGGCCCUUAUGUCCGGGGCGACACACGUGCUACAAUGGCGUAUACAAUGAGACGCAAUAUCGCGAGAUGGAGCAAAUCUAUAAAAUACGUCCCAGUUCGGAUUGGAGUCUGCAACUCGACUCCAUGAAGCCGGAAUCGCUAGUAAUCGUAGAUCAGCCAUGCUACGGUGAAUACGUUCCCGGGUCUUGUACACACC
rnacentral:rRNA from 1 species